UUCAAAGAAUUGGCGAUGCCUUCAGUCUCCUCAGAGGACUCCCUGGAAAAGCUGACCCAGCUAUCUGUCUUUGCUGCCUGGGGAUUGCGCCUGCGGCUGGUGCCCAAAACCUCAGCUGAAAUCUGUGUGCAAGAGGGGGAACACAACAGUUUAUUCAAGCUCCAUUGUCCCCACCAUCUUUCAUGUGUCUUUCACAUCAAGAGAGUCAAGGAACUCCAUAUCUAAUGAACUCACAAAAGGAGACAGCGCCACAUAUAUGGGGCCUGUCAUCAUGUACAACUUCCAUCAUAAGUUGCUGGAACUGUUAGCAUUUACUGUGCUUAUAACUCAACAACGCCAGGAGACUGGCCAAACAUUGUUCUAAUACCACCUAUAUUUCUAAAUUAUCAUUUUUAUUAUUAUUAUUAUUAUUUUUAAGCUCAGUCUCUAGCAUGGUUUUGGCCCAGGUUAGCUAAUAUCUUCCAAAACAAUUCCUGGGUAUUGUUCAGGCAUUAUCACAAGCCAGGAAUCUUUCCAACUGCGCAAUUUGGAUGCAGCCGGACUGCUUCAGAUUUCAGCUGUGUGGAUGUACGCCCUGGUGGGCAGGUGGCUGCUGGGUCAAGGAACGGGUGCUGGCUCUCUUCUUUACCAAUGUAGGUGUCUCCUGAGUGCAGUGAGAACCGGGUUUGUGCCCAGACUUGACAAAUGUCCAUCCCAAGUUGGACUGUGCUUAGUUAUGUUAUGGUCUGCAAGAGUCAUUCUGCUGGAUGUGUACAUCCGUGCUUCUACUAUUACCAUAUGUCUGGGUUUUUCUUUUUUUUUUUUUUCUUUUUUUUUUCUUUUUUUUUUUUUUGAAAUUUUUCCAUGUAUAUGUCAGGCUGCUAUCUCCUUCCUUGGAUCACUUGACUUCUUUGCCCUUUUCCAGCUGUCUGGCCUAGUGCACUCCGUUGAUUUAGAAGACGAAGCUGCAGCUCUGCCCUCUCUAGCUUUGAAUUUUUAGCUGUUUUCCUAUUGCUGUUCAUCUAUGUGGGAGGUUCCUCUCUACCCUGACCCUACACAGCUCUGUCUCACCAGGUGUCCCUUCUCCAUUAUACACACCUCAGGAAGGAGACAGGUUAAGAUAACUAGGAUCCCAAACAAGAUUUUGAAGUGGAUACCCUCAAGUGUAUAAAUGAAGGACAACUAUAACUCUUUAGAGAAUCCCAAAACCUGUUUAUUUUCCCUCCUUGAUCUCAUCAUACCCUCUCUCAGCAAACCAGGCUCAGUCUCAUGCUCUUCCCCCAUUCACCAGCUCCCCAGUCCCAUGAAACCAAAGCACUGCCUCCCUCUCCAUGCCAUAUCCACCUUGUGCAUCCCCCUCUCUGUGUUUUCAGGUGCUCAGUCCAGCACAGCCACCACAAGCUGCUGAUUUGCUCUUGGGGAGGGGGGCUUGGAUGGGUCACAUCUCAGGGCUCCCAAACGACAGGGCCCCUGAAUGUUGCUUAUACCUAAAGCAAGUUGUGGCCCAGAUCCUGAUGGUCCAGGGAAGCCUUUUUGGAAGGGAGCUUGUUUCCAGGCUAUGUUCCACAUCUUCCUUUGGAAAUCUGUAUUCACAGCCUCCCCAUCCAGCUCAUUUCCUCACAGACAGUUCUUAAUAAAAAACAGCAUGGGCUGAAAAAGACCAUUCCAGCAAAGAGGUCAACUUGCCUUUGUCCCUGCAGCAUUCGUGCUGCCUUGCACCCAUUCCUUCCUCUCCUAUCCUUUGGAGUUCAGAGGCUACAGAGCCUGAAGCUUGCUUAUUCAACUCACAACUGCUCCUGCUCAGGGAAGAAGGGAUUUCGGAAGGACAUGGUACUCCUCAUGAAGUGUUUGCUGUUGGCUGAUGGUCUGUGCUCCCCAGGAGAGAGGUUUCCCAGUAGCAACGCUACAGACAGCAUCUCCCUGGGUUCUGUCCUUCCCACCCAGUGGGUCAGCUUGGCCCAGCUUUCCGUGCCUCUAAGGCAGAAAAUGAAAAGGGGGAAUGUGUGUUAAGCCCUUUCAUUAACAACCAGAAAAGCCCAACACAAGUGACCCUCAGUGAACAUCCCCCCCUUCCUUGUCCACGUAUCUGCUGCCCCCAGCCACUUGCCCCUGACGGCGCAUUCCAGCCAGGACGGGGCUUGUGCCCUACACAGCAGUUCUGUCCCUCUCCCAGCUCAGCCACUCAUCGGACAGAAAGCCAUAGAAAUGAAAUGAUUACUCUCUGUUUCUAUACACAUGGGGCAUUGAUCCUAGGGUCUGUUUUAUGGGCUGGGGAGGGGGGAAACGGGAUGGGGACAGGGUGGGGGAGAGCAGGAGCGUGUUUCAUUUAUAAAAUCAAGCCCUGUUCUAGUGAAAAUUGAAGUUCCUGUUUCUUUCCCUCUGUAUUAGACUCCCUGUCGUCUUACAGGAAGUCUUAAUAAAGUCUCCAGGGAAGUUUAAAAUGAAUUUUAAAAAAUCAUAAUCCCCAUAUGGAAGCAUUGGCAUCAGUAAGAUAUACCACUGUGUGAUAGCAUGGAGCCAGGGAAUAUUUGAAGGCCUGUAAAAUAAACUCGUUAAAUCAGUAUUCUGAAUGUGCUGCCUAUGGAGAAAGCCCCCCGUCAGCUACUUCCUAUCUCUUGAGUGAAGAAAAAGAUGUGCCUGGAUUUUGGAACCCAGCAGCUUGAGGCUGGGAUGCGGGGAGAACAGCACUUCAUU